GAUUGCAGGACCAUGGGCGCCUUGUCACCCUCUCCUCAUGAGAUGUCCACCUACCAAGGCACCGCGGGCAGCACUGCUGGGGGUCCGUGAUGGAGCUGGCACAUUGCAGAGCUGGGCACUGGAUCCGGUAGCACCUGAUGUUGGCAUUCUGGGGAGAGAUAGAGACAGAGAAGGUUCAUUCAGCUCCAUGUUCACCCCUGCAAGAGGAGGGAGAUGUUGGAUAAUGGGCACGUUAUCACAACAGAUUGUGCUGGUGUAGCUCACCCAGCUAUGGAGGUCUCCAUCCUCAGGUCAACCCAGCCAUGGAGGUCUCCAUCCCCAGGUCAAACCCAACCAGCUCAUGGUCUCAUCAUCAAAUACCACCCAUGGUCCCACUGCAGCCCGGAGCCUACAGCCCACCAACACUACUGAGAUAGCUCCCUCAUAAGGUGACCCCACCACCCUAUGGUGACAGGGGGUAUUUUCAAAGGGAAAUAGAUGAAUCCAAUGUCCUUAUGGGACUGGAAAGGGCUUUUCU